GCGUAAAGAAAGUCGACACAGAGGCGGCCCUCCUCUCUAAAGGGUCCAAGUCACUAGUCUGCCUAAGGGUUGCCUGAAAAGUCUUUCCACGGCUCCCAAAUCCUUGCAAAUGAUUUUAAUGUCCUGGGAAGUUACCUUAUCUAUCAGGUACGUAUCUCAAAUUUUCAGGAGUAUGACAUCCAUAAGAGAUUUGUUAGGUUUUAG